GACGAACGCUGGCGGCGUGCUUAACACAUGCAAGUCGAACGGAAAGGCCUGCUUUCCCUUGUGGAUUGCGGGUACUCGAGUGGCGAACGGGUGAGUAACACGUGAGUGAUCUGCCCCCAACUUGGGUAUAAGCCUGGGAAACUGGGUCUAAUUCCCGAUAGGACUGCAGGGUGGUGCCUGUGGUGGAAAACGAUUUUCUAGUGGUUGGGGAUGAGCUCGCGGCCUAUCAGCUUGUUGGUGGGGUAAUGGCCUACCAAGGCGGCGACGGGUAGCCGGCCUGAGAGGGUGGACGGCCACAUUGGGACUGAGAUACGGCCCAGACUCCUACGGGAGGCAGCAGUGGGGAAUAUUGCACAAUGGGCGGAAGCCUGAUGCAGCGACGCCGCGUGGGGGAUGACGGCCUUCGGGUUGUAAACUCCUUUCGACCGCGAGGAAGCCACCUGGUUGGAAGGGUGGUGACGGUAGUGGUAGAAGAAGCACCGGCCAACUACGUG
rnacentral:rRNA from 1 species